GGACAAUGUAUUCCUAAACCUCAGCUGAUCUUCAAAUUGAAACAGGGAGCAGAGCCAUGGACAGCAGAGGAAACUGCAAACCAGAGUCUGCCAGGCUUCUACAAUGUGGAUGGCAACCUCACUGAACACCAAGAAACAUACUCAGGGAGCAAAUCUUGUAAAUGCCUUGAAAGUAAAAAAACCUUUACUAGCCAA